rnacentral:rRNA from 1 species
AACACAUGCAAGUCGAACGCGAAAGGGACUUCGGUCCUGAGUAAAGUGGCGCACGGGUGAGUAACGCGUGGAUAAUCUGCCCUUAUGAUCGGGAUAACAGUUGGAAACGGCUGCUAAUACCGGAUACGCUCAAAAUGAACUUUUUGAGGAAAGAUGGCCUCUGCUUGCAUGCUAUCACGUAAGGAUGAGUCCGCGUCCCAUUAGCUUGUUGGCGGGGUAACGGCCCACCAAGGCAACGAUGGGUAGCCGAUUUGAGAGGAUGAUCGGCCACACUGGAACUGAAACACGGUCCAGACUCCUACGGGAGGCAGCAGUGGGGAAUAUUGCGCAAUGGGCGAAAGCCUGACGCAGCGACGCCGCGUGAGGGAUGAAAAGGUUUUCGGAUCGUAAGCCUCUGUCAGAAGGGAAGAAACUACGUUGUGCUAAUCAGCAGCGUACUGACGGUACCUUCAAAGGAAGCACCGGCUAACUCCGUGCCAGCAGCCGC